rnacentral:rRNA from 1 species
UACGGAAGGCAGCAGUGGGGAAUAUUGCACAAUGGGCGCAAGCCUGAUGCAGCCAUGCCGCGUGUAUGAAGAAGGCCUUCGGGUUGUAAAGUACUUUCAGUCGUGAGGAAGGUGUUAAGGUUAAUAACCUUAGCAAUUGACGUUAGCGACAGAAGAAGCACCGGCUAACUCCGUGCCAGCAGCCGCGGUAAUACGGAGGGUGCGAGCGUUAAUCGGAAUUACUGGGCGUAAAGGGCACGCAGGCGGUUAAUUAAGUUGGAUGUGAAAUCCCCGGGCUUAACCUGGGAAUGGCAUUCAAGACUGGUUAGCUAGAGUCUUGUAGAGGGGGUAGAAUUCCAUGUGUAGCGGUGAAAUGCGUAGAGAUGUGGAGGAAUACCGGUGGCGAAGGCGGCCCCUGGACAAAGACUGACGCUCAUGUGCGAAACGCGUGGGGAGCAAACAAGGGAUUAGAUACC